AACCUACCUAUACGAGGAACGGGAACGUAACCGGACGAAGUCGGACUAAUACCGCAUAAACAGGGGCACCGCAUGGUGAUAUUUGUUAAAGAAUUCGCUUGAUAGAUGGGCAUGCGUUCCAUUAGGUAGUUGGUGAGGUAACGGCUCACCAAGCCGACGAUGGAUAGGGAACUGAGAGGUUGGUCCCCCACACUGGUACUGAGACACGGACCAGACUCCUACGGGAGGCAGCAGUGAGGAAUAUUGGUCAAUGGGCGGGAGCCUGAACCAGCCAAGUCGCGUGAAGGAAGAAGGAUCUAUGGUUCGUAAACUUCUUUUGCAGGGGAAUAAAGUGCAGGACGUGUCCUGUUUUGUAUGUACCCUGAGAAUAAGGAUCGGCUAACUCCGUGCCAGCCGCGGC
rnacentral:rRNA from 1 species